AUGGAUCUUGGUGAAACCGUAGAAAUUUUUUUAAUUUUCUGCAACGUUCUCCAACAAGGGAACCGCCGGACAGUUUGUGAGGUUUUGGCCCUCUCAAAAGUCAACAACCCCAAGCUAGUUUUCCUUUGUGAAACUAGGCAAGUAUCAGUUAAACUGGAGAAGUUGCGUUGGAGACUCGAUCUGAAAGGAUUUCAUGGCGUGGAUAGUGAUGGUAUAAGUGGUGGCUUGGCUCUUUUCUGGGAUGAGUCUUUG
rnacentral:rRNA from 1 species